AUGGGAAGCAAAUUGGUAAUUGUGCUCAAAGAGUUAACAUUAAUGUGAAGGGAUAUCCGAAGUAUGAUAAAGUUCAAAAGCAAAACUUGUGGGAGGAGAGUAAGUAAAGAGAAGAAGUUCCACGAAGCUGUUGGUGCUAGAUUUAGGAAGCACAAGUCUUGGUUAGUUUCACGAUUCAUUACUAAGGAAACUGCACCUCCGCCCUGACUCACCAAGUGCAAACAUUAAGCCCUGGGAGCUUUAUGAAGGUUACAUCAUAAAAGAGCAAUGGAAAGAGUUUGAGACAUAUUGCAAUACAGAUGAAUUUAAGGCUCUGAGUGAAAAAGGCAAGGAAAAUGCAAAGAAUAAUAAGCAUCGCCACCAUCUAGGCUCCAAGAGUUAUGAGAGGGCUCGAGUUGAUUGGAGUAAGACCAAUAGAAUUCCAGCAGAAUCUUAAACCUCAAGCACCACAGAGUCCACGACAAGCAUUGUAAUGAGUGAAAAGCUUAAAAACCGGUCUCUUUAUUGGAUUUUGGCCCGUCAAACUCGUCAUGCAGAUGGAUCGUGGGCUAUAGACCCGAAGAAUGCCAAAACCCAGUAAAUAGCCA